CAUCCCCCAGGCAGCCCUACCAGCCCGGCGCUCACCACCAUCCGCGGCGAAUGGCAACCGAUAUAAAAAUAAUAAUGUAAUCCAGGCGGCGGGGGUGAACGCAGACACCCGCACCCGGCGAUCUCCUGCAGGUCCCUCCUCUGAAGAAUUGUCUUGUUUGUAGCUUGCACUGCAGCAAGUAAGAAUUUCAUCAAAGGAUUCUGAAACUCAUGAGAAAUAAAAGGCUGCAGCAUUUGCUCCACAAGAAAAACGGAGGGCAGUGUAUCCAGCUUCAUCUCUGUGGUGAAGCAAAACGUGACAAUUGAUGAUGCUGAGGAAGAAAAUGAGAGGCUCUUUUGUUUUGUACAAAAAAAUCACAGGAAAGCAACCUGGUUAGAGGCUAAAAGGACUCGGGGAAGCUGCACAGGAUGCUGUAGUCCCAGGAAGCUCUGCUUUAGGGACUUCGAUGAGUCAUAAUGUGUUCUCUGAAGUCGCUUUUUCUCUUUCUAGCAUGGUAGCAAGAGGUGGAAGUUGCUUUUUCAUGUCUGCUCGGCCACAUUUGCUUGUUAUGUCCAAGGGAAACGGGAUCAAACAACUCAGAGCUGACUAAGUGAUGCAGUCAGAAUUUUUAACUCACCUCGGAAGCUCUCCAGACUCAAGCAAUGUGUGUUCUCAUGGGCAAGCGACUGUUUGUCCUCAGUACAGGUUCUGGAUCCAUGCUGGAACACUGGUGGGGGUAGAAUACGAAUCUUCUCUCGAACACUUACUGUUCCAAAUUAUGUGACCAUGCUAGCAUGGAUUUUUGUAGGAUGAUGUCAUACAGGUGAAGGCAGGGACAAGAUAGAACGAGGCCUGUCAUUGGACGAGAAGGAAGGAUGGGCAGGAGAAAAGUUUUAGAGAGAGGAAGAGAAGAACAUGGAGGCUGAUGUUAAGGUUCCUCUCUGCACGUUUACAGGUCGUUAUGAAUAUUCUUAAGGGAUGGAUGUGUACAGGGCUUUGUAUGUCUAGGUGGGCAAUUAUAUCUUAUCAAUUGGAUCAGAGGUUGUUGUGUUGUGUAUUCUUUCAUGUGGUGAUUUAAUUGAAUUCAAGAGAGUUUGUGGUGACUGGAGACAGUGGGCUGCCAUGGAAUUGGGAUGUGUGUGUCUGGCAUGGUGGCAGCCUGCCUUGGGAACUACAUGGGUAGAGAGAUUGUUGCCAGGCUCAGAGAGAAGCCGUCGGCAGUGUGAUAUGGGAUGGAGCAGAGCGGGUGAGAGGCUUUGCUGACUGAGAUGAAGAUAUCUAACAGAUAUCUUGGAGAACUAUGGUGCCAGACCUAGUGAGGGGUAAAAGACAGCACUUUUAUAAUUUUAUAGCAACAGAUUUUAAUUUUAAUAAUACUUCAGUAACUCUCUGAGAGUUUUUUUUACAAUGUAUUUUGAUAGUAUUCAGUCUCUUCCCCAACUCCUCCAUACCCACUCCCUCUAUCCUCCUCUCCCUGCUUUGAGAUUCAUUCCUUUCUUUUUGCUUUCCCUCCAGAACUUCACAAUAAGAGCCUACUGCUGAAGAUACCACAUACUCAAAUCAUACAAAAUGGAAUAAUCGCCCUGAAGGUAUAACAAAGACUGGUUUGACCAGCUAUACCCACUGUGCUUCCCAACUUCUCUUGGUAGUGGGGCCUGCCUUAGAGUGUGUUUAAUCUACCAGGGAUCACAGCAUUCAAAACACCUGACUCUCUCAUAACAGCUAUCAAAUGCCAGUGACUCCUCAACUGGAGGUGAUAAUUUGGUGCCCACCUCAGCUCAUCCUCUCUAUAUGGGGAUUUGUCUGGCUUAAGCUUACCAAGGGUCUUGUGUAAGCUGCCACAAUUGCUGUAAGUCCAGCUGUCCCACUGUGUCUGAAAACUACUGUUUCCUUGAUGUGAUCAACCACCUAAAAUUUUUACAAUCUUUUGCUCCUUCCAGAAUCUUUGACAGGGGAGAUAUUAAAGAGAUGUUUCAUUUAGGCUAAGCAUGCCAUAGUCUCUUAGUCUGCAUGUUGACCAAUUGAAGGUCUCCAAGAAGUUUCUCUGAUGAGGGUUGGGAGACAAACUGAUCUGUGGGUAUAGAAAUAGGUCUAUUGUGUCCAUUUAGCAUAAUAUUAGUAUUCAAUUCUCCCCUAGGACCUAUAACUUAUCUGGCCACAGGUUCUACUCAUGGAAGGGACCUUAUUCCUAUCAGAACCUGGUUACUUACUCUCAUGUGUGCUAUGAUUGCUCCAACAGUGGGUAUAGCUGGUCAAACCAGUCUUUGUUUUACCUUCAGGGUGAUUAUUCCAUUUUGUAUGAUUUGAGUAUGUGGUAUCUUCAACAGUAGGCUCUUAUUGUCAAGUUCUGGAGGGUAACCAAGCAUAAUGGAAAUAGCCUGUAUUGCUUGUGGGUGCAUGGGACGCCAUUGGCCAACAACUCAAAAGAGGAUAACCCAUUCCAAAUAGUGGGUGUUUCGGGGUUUUUUGCUUUUGCUUUUUUACCCCCUAGCAUAUGGUUUCUAGUUGGGGUAUUCUUCUCCCACUGUAGGUUAAUUCAAUUAAAACUCUGUGUGUGUGUGUGUGUGUGUGUGUGUGUGUGUGUGUGUGUGUGUAUGAACAUGUGCAUGCACACAUGCAUAGGAACUUAAUAUCCAUUUUCUUCAAUGAAUGCAUAGGCUUCAUUAUACUUUCAAGGAGCUCUUCCCUCAAGAAGGUGGUAAGAAUUUCUAAGAAGCCUAAGCAGUCUAAAUGACCCAUGAUAAUUUUAUGAUAAGAAAUAAAUCCUACACCCGCGGAUCCCAGCCCGCAGCAGCUCUCUGCUCCCAAACCCCGUGGGAGAGAGACCUCACCGCCUGAUCAGGUGGGCACUCCUGAGGCUGCAGAGCGGAGGAGACCACCAACACUGCCCACCCAUGCCCACAUCCCUGGCCCAAGAGGCAACUGUAUAAGGCCUCUGGGUUCCCGUAGGGGAGGGCCCAGGAGCGGCAGGACCCCUGCACCUGAGACACCGCCGGAACCUGAAGGAAACAGACUGGAUAAACAGUUCUCUGCACCCAAAUCCCGUGGGAGGGAGAGCUGAAUCUUCAGAGAGGCCGACACGCCUGGGAAACCAGAAGAGACUGCACUCUGUGCACAUCCAGACGCCAGAGGAAAACACCAAACGCCAUCUGGAACCCUGGUGCACGGAGGCUCCCGGAAAGAGCGGUGCAGAUCUUCCCGGUUGCUGCCAUCGCGGAGAGGACUUAGGCAGUACCCCACGAGCAAACUUGAGCCUUGGAACCACAGGUAGGCCCAACUUUUCCCCUGCAAGAAAGCUGCCUGGUGAACUCAAGACACAGGCCCACAGGAACAGCUGAAGACCUGUAGAGAGGAAAAACUACAUGCCCGAAAGCAGAACACUCUGUCCCCAUAACUGGCUGAAAGAGAACAGGAAAACAGGUCUGCAGCACUCCUGACACACAGGCUUAUAGGACAGUCUAGCCACGGUCAGAAAUAGCAGAACAAAGUAACACUAGAGAUAAUCUGAUGACGAGAGGCAAGCACAGGAACCCAAGCAACAGAAACCAAGACUACAUGGCAUCAUCGGAGCCCAAUUCUCCCACCAAAGCAAACACGGAAUAUCCAAACACACCAGAAAAGCAAGAUCUAGUAUCAAAAUCAUAUUUGAUCAUGAUGCUGGAGGACUUCAAGAAAGACAUAAAGAACUCCCUUAGAGAACAAGUAGAAGCCUACAGAGAGGAAUCGCAAAAAUCCCUGAAAGAAUUCCAGGAAAACACAAUCAAACAGUUGAAGGAAUUAAAAAUGGAAAUAGAAGCAAUCAAGAAAGAACACAUGGAAACAACCCUGGACAUAGAAAAUCAAAAGAAAAGACAAGGAGCUGUAGAUACAAGGUUCACCAACAGAAUGCAAGAGAUGGAAGAGAGAAUCUCGGGAGCAGAAGGUUCCAUAGAAAUCAUUGACUCAACUGUCAAAGAUAAUGUAAAGCAGAAAAAGCUACUGGUCCAAAACAUACAGGAAAUCCAGGACUCAAUGAGAAGAUCAAACCUAAGGAUAAUAGGUAUAGAAGAGAGUGAA